GUAGGUGGCAAGCGUUGUCCGGAAUUAUUGGGCGUAAAGCGCGCGCAGGCGGUCCUUUAAGUCUGAUGUGAAAGCCCACGGCUCAACUGUGGAGGGUCAUUGGAAACUGGGGGACUUGAGUACAGAAGAGGAAAGCGGAAUUCCAAGUGUAGCGGUGAAAUGCGUAGAGAUUUGGAGGAACACCAGUGGCGAAGGCGGCUUUCUGGUCUGUAACUGACGCUGAGGCGCGAAAGCGUGGGGAGCAAACAGGGAUUAGAUACCCUGGUAGUCCACGCCGUAAACGAUGAGUGCUAAGUGUUAGGGGGUUUCCCGCCCCUUAGUGCUGCAGCUAACGCAUUAAGCACUCCGCCUGGGGAGUACGCCGCAAGGCUG
rnacentral:rRNA from 1 species